UAAGCAAAUAUUAAAAAAACAAAAAUAAGAUCUUUCAGAAAUAAAUGAAGUUCAAAACAAAAACAAUUUAUAUCAAUGCAUACAUUCCUUUAUCUGUCGAACUGUGCUGUCGAAGAAUGUAGAAGGGAAAUGAACAAACGUCCAUCGAGUGUUCGGCGGCGGCGGGAUCAGCGGCGCGGCUCCUGGCGAGGCGCGCGAGCGCGGCGGCCGCCAGCGCGCGCGUGCACGCGCCCGCGCCGCCCGCGCUGCGCAUGCGCGACCACCGCGCUUGCGCCGAUAUAGCGUUCUCUUCGAUACCACUCUUCUCUAACGCUAGUGCUGUUUAGCAAUAAGAUCGGCGGGAUCGAGAUGCGCGGCGGCCGCCAACUGCUGCGCGGCGAGCGCCCACGCGCCCUCCCCGCCCGCCUCGCGCGCCGCCGCCAGCGCCGCGCACACGCGCGCCGCGCACC